UCUUUUUCUUUUCUUUUCUUUUCUUUUGUUUUGGUUUGUCUGCAUCUUUCUUUUUCCUUUCUUUUCGAAAACUCCUCCCUUUCUCUCUUCUUCUUCCCCGUGACAACACACACACACACACAAAUACCCACAGUCGCACAACUCAGGGAGAGUCACCAUCAUCGCCGUUGAACUGCUUCUCUCUCUCUCUUUCUCUCUCCCCUGCUCGCGGUGCCGGAGUACGCCGAGCAUCUCCGGCGAAUUUUAGCUUGUUUUCCGGUUGGGUUUUGGAGUGUUUUUGGCAAGGGUGGAGGUACACCCAAUUUUCCGGCGAGUGCGUGUUUUCCGAGGGAUUUUCCGGCCACCACAAGCCGUUUCACGGCGAACCCAAGGUAUAAAACUACUCCUCUUGGCUAGUGCUUCAUUUUGAUACCUAGAUCGGGGUCUAGGUUGUAGUUUUGACGUGCGAGAGAGUUCUGGAGAAAGGCGAGAGCGUCGGUAUAUUUCAUUAAACCUGGACACUGUUCACCCGUGUGUGGGUGAAAAUAAGCUGCUUUUGGAAGCUACAAAUUGCAGCUUCUUGUCAUCUCUUGGUUUUGGGCUUUUUUUCACCCUCAACUUUGAAAAAAAGCUGCUUUUUAAAGUUUACCAAACACCAAAAAUUUUCAUAGCUUUUUUUCAUAGGAGCUUUUUUUUUAAGCACCUCAAUCCCAAACAGGCCCUAAGGACCGUUCAAUGAAGGCUUUAGCAUAGGCGAGUAAAAGUAAAAUUAGGUGUAUUUAAUUGGAAAUUUAAGAUAUUUUAAUAGAUUUAUAAAUUCAUGAAUUUAUGUAGAGUUUAAUUGAUUUGUAGAGAUUUUAUGUAAAUUUUAUAUUCAAUUCUCUCGAAAUCUUACGGGGAAGAUGAGAGAUUUGUGGAUACUUCCAAUAUACUACAAAAUCUCUUCAAUUCCCCUUAAUUCCUUAAUUUUUUUAAAUUCUUCAAAAUCAUAUUCUAAUUGAAUACACCUAAAAUGUUAUAAACUUGUUCCAAAUCCUAAUUAAAUACAAUCAGAUUUCUAAAGAUUUUAAUAAAUUAUCUUGAAAUCUUGAUUCAAUAUAUAUUGAAUUUCACAGAAUCACUUAAAAUCCUGAUUAAAUACCCAUAAAUUCAAAAUUCCAAUUGCAUACACCUCUUAAUUUCAUUAAAGUUAACCCGUGUGAAUAACAAACACGAAUUCACAUCAAAUUUAAUCCAGUCCAGUCUAGCUUAAUUAAGGCAAACAAACGCACCCCUCUUAAAAAUUAAAAAAACCAAGCGCCCACGUCAAAACUCCUCUAUAUCUCCGAAGUUGAGACCAUAACUUUGACGUUCAAUUUCCGCUAGUAAAAGGAAAGCAAGAAAGAAGAAAUCGACGGUACUAUACAGAAAUAACACUGAAGCCUUUUUUUUUAAAACUACGAUCACUGUUAUCCCUUGGACACUACUUUGACAAAAUUUCCCUGGGUGGCAUGUCAACAUAUAGGCCGGGAGGGAUCCAUAUUUCUGAAAAAAAUAAUAAAAAUUAAUUAUCGGAUUCACUCCACGUCGAACUUCGACUAUAUGAAUCGUCUAUGUUAUAAAGCUCAAUCUAUAGAUUAUCCUUACAAAAAUUCAAUUCAAUCCGUAACUAUUUGGCCAUUCAGUUGUCAUGAUAAAAUUUCAAUGUUUCUUCUUAUAGACCAUAAUGUUCGUCAAUUUCUUUUAACUAAAUUAGAUGUCUCAAACAUUUCUGAUUUGGUUGAUACUUUGCAUGAAUGAUCUACAAAGUGCAACUUGAAAAAUAAACGUUCAGAUCAUUGAAGUCCAAUGUUGUUUGGCCUCACAACUAAUUCCAAUUAAAAAAAAAAAUGGAGACCCUUUAGUCAAUAUUCUUAGACCUGUACAUUUCCAAGAGACAAAAAAAAGAAUCAAGACAUGUACAGGUGCUUGGUAAGAAGCAGCAAAUAAGUGAAUGAGUGCAACGGUGCAAAGUUUGUGCACACUAAUUAGCGACCCAAAAACACAUAACCUAAAAAUUAUAUGUUGAAUUUUCUAUUUACAAAAAGUGAAGGAAAAACUAGGCAAUUUCAUCCUUUACAACCAACAUUCAUAUAGAUAUUAAAAACCUAUGUAAACAUAAUGGUUCAAUUUUCCAAUGGCGAAUAUAAUCAUAUAUAUAGCAGCAAAACUUCCCACUUGCAGACUCAAGCGGGGAGGGAUCUCCCCCAUGGUCUGAGAGUUGCAAUCAAAA